rnacentral:rRNA from 1 species
UUCCGGUUGAUCCCGCCGGACCUGACUGCUAUCGGAUUGAUACUAAGCCAUGCGAGUCAUUGUAGCAAUACAAGGCAGACGGCUCAGUAACGCGUAGUCAACCUAACCUAUGGAUGGGAAUAACCUCGGGAAACUGAGAAUAAUGCCCAAUAGAACACUAUACCUGGAAUGGUUUGUGUUCCAAAUGAUUUAUCGCCGUAGGAUGGGACUGCGGCCUAUCAGUUUGUUGGUGAGGUAAUGGCCCACCAAGACUAUUACAGGUACGGGCUCUGAGAGGAGUAGCCCGGAGAUGGGUACUGAGACACGGACCCAGGCCCUAUGGGGCGCAGCAGGCGAGAAAACUUUGCAAUGUGCGAAAGCACGACAAGGUUAAUCCGAGUGAUUUGUGCUAAACGAAUCUUUUGUUAGUCCUAGAAACACUAACGAAUAAGGGGUGGGCAAGUUCUGGUGUCAGCCGCCGCGGUAAAACCAGCACCUCAAGUGGUCAGGAUGAUUAUUGGGCCUAAAGCAUCCGUAGCCGGCUCUGUAAGUUUUCGGUUAAAUCUGUACGCUCAACGUACAGGCUGCCGGGAAUACUGCAGAGCUAGGGAGUGGGAGAGGUAGACGGUACUCGGUAGGAAGGGGUAAAAUCCUUUGAUCUAUUGAUGACCACCUGUGGCGAAGGCGGUCUACCAGAACACGUCCGACGGUGAGGGAUGAAAGCUGGGGGAGCAAACCGGAUUAGAUACCCGGGUAGUCCCAGCUGUAAACUAUGCAAACUCAGUGAUGCAUUGGCUUGUGGCCAAUGCAGUGCUGCAGGGAAGCCGUUAAGUUUGCCGCCUGGGAAGUACGUACGCAAGUAUGAAACUUAAAGGAAUUGGCGGGGGAGCACCACAAGGGGUGAAGCCUGCGGUUCAAUUGGAUUCAACGCCGGG